GAUGAACGCUGGCGGCGUGCUUAACACAUGCAAGUCGAACGAUGAAGCCCAGCUUGCUGGGUGGAUUAGUGGCGAACGGGUGAGUAGCACGUGAGUAACCUGCCCUUGACUCUGGGAUAAGCCUGGGAAACUGGGUCUAAUACUGGAUAUGACUUCUCAUCGCAUGGUGGGGGGUGGAAAGAUUUAUUGGUCUUGGAUGGACUCGCGGCCUAUCAGCUUGUUGGUGAGGUAAUGGCUCACCAAGGCGACGACGGGUAGCCGGCCUGAGAGGGUGACCGGCCACACUGGGACUGAGACACGGCCCAGACUCCUACGGGAGGCAGCAGUGGGGAAUAUUGCACAAUGGGCGCAAGCCUGAUGCAGCGACGCCGCGUGAGGGAUGACGGCCUUCGGGUUGUAAACCUCUUUCAGUAGGGAAGAAGCGAGAGUGACGGUACCUGCAGAAGAAGCGCCGGCUAACUACGUG
rnacentral:rRNA from 1 species